GCAAGCUGGGGUGAGAGCUGCACAAGGUGGCUAUGCUCUAUCUCACAGAGCCUGGCCUUCUGGACAGCUGUAACCACGGACACACGUGUCUGACAGAUUAAAGAAAAACAUUUUUGACAAAAAAAAAAAAACACGAGUGAGGAGGGAGGGAGGAGAACGCAUCACAUUUCAGCAGAGGGAGCAGAAAACACAACUUCCAGCCUGUAACCAAACGGCCGCAGAUACCGGUGAUAAGCAGAGAUAAGCAGAGCGGGUCAGGGGGGGGGGGAGCAGAGGACGCUGAACACCCAGCAGCAGCAGCAGCAGCUCCGGGGACAGGCGGCAGCGACAUCACCUCAGACCUGAGCCACACGGCGUCCGCGGGCAGAAAGCGCGGGAAUCCCAGAAUGUAAACCGACCCCAGAGCGCGGAUCAGAGACCGGACACAGCGUGGGCCGCAUGACUGGAAGAGCCAAUGGUCUUUUCCAUCAAGGACCCACCAAGGAUGGAGAAGGACAGAGACCGCAUGGCUGCGAGGAUAUUAGACCUCACCCUGGAGAUCAUCCACUUGAUAACUGGAGAGGAUUACAAGGUAGUGAAGAAGUCGUCUGGUGAGUGUGUGACACCCCGUG